UACGUAGGGCGCAAGCGUUAUCCGGAAUUAUUGGGCGUAAAGAGCUCGUAGGCGGUUUGUCGCGUCUGCCGUGAAAGUCCGGGGCUCAACUCCGGAUCUGCGGUGGGUACGGGCAGACUAGAGUGAUGUAGGGGAGACUGGAAUUCCUGGUGUAGCGGUGAAAUGCGCAGAUAUCAGGAGGAACACCGGAGUGGCGAAGGCAGGUCUCUGGGCAUUACUGACGCUGAGGAGCGAAAGCAGUGGGAGCGAACAGGAUUAGAACUACCCGUAGUCAGUCCA
rnacentral:rRNA from 1 species